GAUGAACGCUGGCGGCGUGCCUAAUACAUGCAAGUCGAGCGAACGGACGAGAAGCUUGCUUCUCUGAUGUUAGCGGCGGACGGGUGAGUAACACGUGGAUAACCUACCUAUAAGACUGGGAUAACUUCGGGAAACCGGAGCUAAUACCGGAUAAUAUUUUGAACCGCAUGGUUCAAAAGUGAAAGACGGCCUUGCUGUCACUUAUAGAUGGAUCCGCGCUGCAUUAGCUAGUUGGUAAGGUAACGGCUUACCAAGGCAACGAUGCAUAGCCGACCUGAGAGGGUGAUCGGCCACACUGGAACUGAGACACGGUCCAGACUCCUACGGGAGGCAGCAGUAGGGAAUCUUCCGCAAUGGGCGAAAGCCUGACGGAGCAACGCCGCGUGAGUGAUGAAGGUCUUCGGAUCGUAAAACUCUGUUAUUAGGGAAGAACAGAUGUGUAAGUAACUGUGCACAUCUUGACGGUACCUAAUCAGAAAGCCACGGCUAACUACGUG
rnacentral:rRNA from 1 species